CAGCAGCNGCGGUAAUANGAAGNAGGNUNCCAUCGUUNGUAUUUANUGGGCGUAAAGCACACGUAGCCGGACUUUUAAGUCAGGGGUGAAAUCCCGCGACUCAACCCCGGAACAGCUUCAGAUACUGGAACUNUUGAGUAUGGUAGAAGAGAGUGGAAGAACGAGUGUAGAAGCGAAAUUNGUAGAUAUUNGGAGGAGCACCANUGGNGAAGACGGCUCCCUGGACCAUUANCGACGNUGAUGUGNGAAAGNAUGGGGAGCAACCAGCAUUAGAUACCNUCGUAGUNCUCCCCGUCAACGAUGAAUUUUAGCCGUCGGGGAGUCUACUNUUCGGUGGNGCAGCUAANGCNUUAAACAUUCCNCCUCGGGAGUACGGUCGCAAGAUUAAAACUCAAAGGAAUUGACGGGGGCCCGCCCCACCGGUGGAGCAUGUGGUUUAAUUAGAAGCAACGCGCAGAACCUUACCAGCCCUUGACAUACCGGUCGCGGACACANAGAUGUGUCUUUCAGUUCGCCUGGACCGGAUACAGCAGCUGCANCACGGUCGUCAUCUNGUGUCGUGAGAUGAGGGUUAAGUCCUGCAACGAGCGCAACCCUCCCNUUAGUACCAUCANUUAGUUGCCACUAAAAGGGANCCCAGUCAUAAGGGAAGGAAGGGGGGAUGACGUCAAGUCCUCAUCCCCUUACGGGCUGGGUUACACAUCAUNCACAAUGGUGGUGACAGGGGCAGCAAGCACGAGAGGGUGACAUUAUCUNCAAAAGCCAUCUCAGUUCGGAUNGCASUCUGCAACUCGANUGCRUGAAGUNGGAAUCGCUAGUAAUCGCGGAUCAGCA
rnacentral:rRNA from 1 species